rnacentral:rRNA from 1 species
AGCAGGCGCGAAAUCUUUACAAUGCGGGAAACCGCGAUAAGGGGACACCGAGUGCCAGCAUUUAUGUUGGCUGUCCACAUGUGUAAACGGCAUGUGUUAGCAAGGGCCGGGCAAGACCGGUGCCAGCCGCCGCGGUAACACCGGCGGCCCGAGUGGUAAUCACUUUUAUUGGGUCUAAAGGGUCCGUAGCCGGUUUGAUCAGUUCUUCGGGAAAUCUGACAGCUCAACUGUUAGGCUUCCGGGGAAUACUGUCAGACU